AGUCAGGGGGUGUGGCUGAGGACAGCUUGC
rnacentral:piRNA from 1 species